UGCACGCAGAGCUCGUCACAGAGCCAAAUCUUGGUCUAUCUGGGCCUGAUGAACUCUGCUGGCCUCACCGUGAUGACUCCAUGAGACCACCCCCACCACAAAGGU